rnacentral:rRNA from 1 species
UACAGAGGGGGCAAGCGUUAUUCGGAAUUAUUGGGCGUAAAGGGCGCGUAGGCGGCCAUUCAAGUGACGGGUGAAAGCCCUCGGCUUAACCGAGGAACUGCCUGUCAGACUGGAUGGCUUGAGACCGGGAGAGGUGAGUGGAAUUCCCAGUGUAGCGGUGAAAUGCGUAGAUAUUGGGAGGAACACCGGUGGCGAAGGCGGCGACCUGGGUAGAUACUGACGCUGAGGCGCGAAAGCGUGGGGAGCAAACAGG